rnacentral:rRNA from 1 species
UACGGAGGGUGCAAGCGUUAUCCGGAUUCACUGGGUUUAAAGGGUGCGUAGGCGGACAGGUAAGUCAGUGGUGAAAUCUCUGGGCUUAACCCAGAAACUGCCGUUGAUACUAUUUGUCUUGAAUAUCCUGGAGGUAGGCGGAAUAUGUCAUGUAGCGGUGAAAUGCUUAGAUAUGACAUAGAACACCGAUAGCGAAGGCAGCUUACUACAGGAUGAUUACGCUGAGGCACGAAAGCGUGGGGAGCAAACAGG